rnacentral:rRNA from 1 species
UCCUACGGGGGGCAGCAGUGGGGAAUAUUGGACAAUGGGCGAAAGCCUGAUCCAGCAAUGCCGCGUGAGUGAUGAAGGCCCUAGGGUUGUAAAGCUCUUUUACCCGGGAUGAUAAUGACAGUACCGGGAGAAUAAGCUCCGGCUAACUCCGUGCCAGCAGCCGCGGUAAUACGGAGGGAGCUAGCGUUGUUCGGAAUUACUGGGCGUAAAGCGCACGUAGGCGGCUAUUCAAGUCAGGGGUGAAAUCCCGGGGCUCCACCUCGGAACUGCCCUUGAAACUGGAUGGCUAGAGUCCGGGAGAGGCGAGUGAAAUUCCGAGUGUAGAGGUGAAAUUCGUAGAUAUUCGGAAGAACACCAGUGGCGAAGGCGACUCGCUGGACAGGUAUUGACGCUGAGGUGCGAAAGCGUGGGGAGCAAACAGGAUUAGAUACCCUAGUAGUCC